CCCCAUAUAUAAACAUCGACAAGAAAAUCAAAACUCAAGUUAAAUAGUAGAAUAGACAUUCAACAUGAUGGGAUGUACUUUACAGAUGUCUCACUAUCCUCUUCCACGUUUGGGACUGAGGAGACACGGAGGGUCUUCUGCGGUGGAGCUGAUUCCGGAGAUCCCGACGGGAGCGAGCGAACGCGCGUGAAGAGACUGACGCAGGCACGAAAGGUGACCUAGCAGAGGCCAGGAGGUUGCAGGAGCGUCCCCGAGGGUCUUAAGUCUCCCCUCACCCCUGCUGUUAAAGCGGAAGAAAAGAACCGAGCAAAUAAGGUGAUGAAGGAAAAAGACUUCUUGCUGAUGCAGAGGUUGCGCUCACACACCUGUCCUCCUGAUGAACACACAGCUUCCACACUGGUUUUCUCACUGAAGGGAAAGAAUGACUGAGUCGUCCUGUUCCAGGGCUGAGACGGGUGCAGCAUGUCUGGCUCACUCAGACAAGCGUGGAAUGUCAGAGUCAAGAGGAUCACGAAGGACAGAAGCAAUGCCUGAAGAUGUUUGUGUAAAUGCAGAAAAAGUGAAAUCAAUCAGUUCAAUCCAUCAACAGUUGACGAAAUCACAGAUGCCCACUAACUUCCAAGCUUUGAUCAUUUAACUUAUUAAAAAAAUCCUAUCACACAUACAGAUCUAUUCAGUGCAUAAUUAGAAACAGCCGAUAUUACCAUAUUGUGAGA